UGGCCAUGAAGUCCUCCAUGGACACGUUGUCCAGGAGCACAAAGUCGGCCAUGCCGAACUCGAGGCUCUCGUGUUCGGCCAUCGUCUUUUGGGGUCGUCGCCUUGACUUCUCGAAGCUCCGACGACGUCCGUCCGCAGGUGACUACCGACGCGUUCAUGUCAAGUUCCAAUUGCAUCCUUGUCCCGUCAUGAGCAGACCCUCCGUUCGUGGACGUCCGGGAGACUCUCUCAGCCAAUAGGAGCGCAGUUUGCCCACCUCAAGCCACGCCUCCAAAUGAAAGGGUAGUUUUUAAAUUAUUAAUUAUUUUUUUUUAAGCGACAUUUUCUUUUAUAACCCACCAUUCCCCGUUUACUCUUCAUACUUUGGCGAUGAUUGAGAAGUGGGUCCACUUCUCAUUUUUUUUUCCUUUCUUUUUUUUGUGCAACCACAUUUGCCCGUAACCAUAAAAGGAAAAAAAGUGGGUUUUUACCUCUGACUUUUAGCGGUCAUUAACUGGAUGGGCAACAAGAAGAAGAAGAAGAAGAAGAAGAAGAAGAAAAAAAACAGAAAAAAACUACUGUAUCAGCAGGAAACUUGUUGCGUCGAAUCAAUGGCGGUGAAAUUGCGCCAUGUAGUGGACACUUCAGGGAAGUCAUCCCAUGACACGACACAAAAAGAGAGUCUGCCCUCUAGUGGUUCUCAAACGUUCUACAUCUCAAGAAAUACUUGGCGCUCCAAGUACUACCACAAUAAUUCUAACGUUAAAAUACAGUCAGGUAGUUAAUGUGCCCCUUUUUCGAAUGCCAGGUUUUUGUGAUAUAAAAAAGUGAGCCCAAGAGAAAUCAUUCGUGUCCUAUAACCUGUACAACUCAAUUGGCAAAAAAAUAACUUUUUGAGGGGAAGUAAAAGUAAACAACGGAAAUGAUGUGUAUAAUGUAUGCACACCCUCUGAUGACUGUUCAGAAUGAACCAAUCACAUUCAAAUUUGAAAUGGAAGACAAGCACACACCUGCCACCAUGUAAUGUGCCUCUGAUUAAACCUAAACAAGUUUCAGAUGUUCUAGUUGGCUUUUCCUGACCUUUUUUUUUUUGGCCAUCACCAUGGUUCAGUGUAGGUAUGGUGUUUCUUUUCUUUUGUGCAAAACAUACCUUUCAGAAACUACGGUCAAAAAGUUCAACCUUGGUUUCAGUGGACUACAACAAAAUCUCCCAAAUACGUGGCUGCAGAACGCCGUGACCUAAUAGGACAUUAAAGACACCAAAUCCACCAGGUAUGGAGGAGCCUGACAUUGAGGGCUCUGUUAGUGACCGUUAAAAUUUUACACCGGAUCCUAAAAUUAACAGGGAGCCAGUGCAAGAACAACAGAACGAGAGUGUGACAGGUGCUCCAGGACUUUUGUUGCAUAAUGGCUGAACUUUUCAUGCUCCAUCUGCCUCCCAGCUUCGGAGGAGUUCUGCUUGGUCCCGCGCAAAAUGAUGACAACAACCAGGAGGAGGAGAUGACCAUCUGCGGUCAUGCUGGAGAUGACAUUUAUGCAGCUUCACACUUACUCACAAUAGCGUGCGUGUCAUCAGCAGCAAUCAGCGUCUUCAUGUGUCACAUUCACACUCUUCUCCCGAGUUGCAACACUUCUUCAUCGUGCAGAAGAGCAACGAGCCUGGCGUGAGAUGGAUCGGAUGGCACGACCGGCCGGAUGCCCGCUGCCGCAUUCCGAUCGAUGCUGCGUUGGCCCGGUAGGUAGCAACUGUAAAGUGAGCUCCGCCUGACAUUCGCUCAUUCAUCGCCGCUCGGCGGGCAGAUGGCGGGAACACGUGCUGCGAUGCCAGUAAGAGCGCGUUAUCCGCACCGCACGUGGCAAGACGAUACACCAUUAGGAACCCUUGCACGGUCCAAAAAAAUGCUGCCUCUUACAAAGAUGAUAAGUUGGCGAAUGAUGCGGGAAGACGACUGUACGGUCGUGCCUCACCAUGUCGCAGUUCAUUUUUAUGUAGAAUUUUAAAUCGUACAUAUUUCAUUUCAUAUCACAGAUUUUUAAGUGAGCCAGGUGGAAAGAGACUGCGCGUCUACAGUAAAAUAAACAUUAUUAGCUCAUUUAAUAAAGUCUACUACUGCUAGUUUGAACAAAUUGUAAUCCUUGCACAGGUGGUCAAGGAUAGACGCAGCCACCGGUGCACUCUCAAUCCCUUUAUUGAACAAACGGUAAGAAAAUAAACAUCAACCGACUCACGGUUAGCAACUUAACUUGGCUAUUCUGAGCCAACACGGCCAACGCUACACUCUCAUUCGCUGACUCUGAUGUCACUCAACAGGCCCCCCCCCCCCUUCCGCCUUUUAAAGCUACACAUUCAUAGUCACUGAUACUACAGUGUAGAAAGUGAAGAUGGCUACAUCAAGUGGACAAAAAUAAUACCUGCACCUCAAGCAUAUUUUGUAUUGGUAUUAUGUAUAAAUGUUUAACU